GGAUAACCUACCCUUAGGACUGGGAUAACCCUGGGAAACUGGGGAUAAUACUAGAUAGGCAAUUUUUCCUGGAAUGGUUUUUUGUUUAAAUGUUUUUUCGCCUAAGGAUGGGUCUGCGGCCGAUUAGGUAGUUGGUUAGGUAACGGCUUACCAAGCCAUUGAUCGGUACGGGUUGUGAGAGCAAGAGCCCGGAGAUGGAACCUGAGACAAGGUUCCAGGCCCUACGGGGUGCAGCAGGCGCGAAACCUCCGCAAUGUGAGAAAUCGCGACGGGGGGAUCCCAAGUGCCAUUCUUAACGGGAUGGCUUUUCAUUAGUGUAAAGAGCUUUUGGAAUAAGAGCUGGGCAAGACCGGUGCCAGCCGCCGCGGUAACACCGGCAGCUCUAGUGGUAGCAAUUUUUAUUGGGCCUAAAGCGUCCGUAGCCGGUUUAAUAAGUCUCUGGUGAAAUCCUGUAGCUUAACUGUGGGAAUUGCUGGAGAUACUAUUAGACUUGAGACCGGGAGAGGUUGGAGGUACUCCCAGGGUAGAGGUGAAAUUCUGUAAUCCUGGGAGGACCGCCUGUUGCGAAGGCGUCUAACUGGAACGGUUCUGACGGUGAGGGACGAAAGUUAGGGGCGCGAACCGGAUUAGAUACCCGGGUAGUCCUAACUGUAAACGAUGCGGACUUGGUGUUGGGGUGGCUUUGAGCUGCUCCAGUGCCGAAGGGAAGCUGUUAAGUCCGCCGCCUGGGAAGUACGGUCGCAAGACUGAAACUUAA
rnacentral:rRNA from 1 species